GAUCCUGGCUCAGGAUGAACGCUAGCUACAGGCUUAACACAUGCAAGUCGAGGGGCAGCAUGAUUGAAGCUUGCUUCAAUUGAUGGCGACCGGCGCACGGGUGAGUAACACGUAUCCAACCUUCCGUACACUCAGGGAUAGCCUUUCGAAAGAAAGAUUAAUACCUGAUGGUAUCUUAAGCACACAUGUAAUUAAGAUUAAAGAUUUAUCGGUGUACGAUGGGGGAUGCGUUCCAUUAGGUAGUAGGCGGGGUAACGGCCCACCUAGCCUACGAUGGAUAGGGGGUUCUGAGAGGAAGGUCCCCCACAUUGGAACUGAGACACGGGUCCAAACUCCUACGGGAGGCAGCAGUGAGGAAUAUUGGUCAAUGGACGAGAGUCUGAACCAGCCAAGUAGCGUGAAGGAUGAAGGUCCUACGGAUUGUAAACUUCUUUAUAAGGGAAUAAAACCUCCCACGUGUGGGAGCUUGUAUGUACCUUAUGAAUAAGCAUCGGCUAACUCCGUG
rnacentral:rRNA from 1 species